UCUCUCUCUCUCUCGCCUGUCUUUCUUUCUUCUAAUUCACAGCUCCACUGCCUGUGUCUUUUUUAAUUAAGGCCGAACGAUAGCAGGCCGUAGCCCCCUGAUUGCAGCACUUACCAACCACACAUUGAGGGAUGAAGAGGCUAAAUAAGCAGUAUGAGAUUACUCUGAGGCUCCGUUUAAUUGUUUUCUUCUUCCUUUUAAGUUAGAGAGAGAGAGAGAGUGCAUUGAACAAGAGCAUUGUGAAUCCCAGGACUAUGGGAGUAUUUCCUUUAUUGCGGUGUGUGUGUGUGUGUGU